AGAGUUUGAUCAUGGCUCAGAUUGAACGCUGGCGGUAGGCUUAACACAUGCAAGUCGUGCGAGAAAGUAUCUUCGGAUAUGAGUAGAGCGGCGGACGGGUGAGUAACGCGUAGGAAUCUACCUAGUAGAAGGGGAUAGCCCGGGGAAACCCGGAUUAAUACCGUAUACCUCCUUCGGGAGAAAGAAGGCCUCUCUUUGAAGCUUUCGCUAUUAGAUGAGCCUGCGUAAGAUUAGCUUGUUGGUGAGGUAAAGGCUCACCAAGGCUACGAUCUUUAGCUGGUCUGAGAGGACGAUCAGCCACAUUGGGACUGAGACACGGCCCAGACUCCUACGGGAGGCAGCAGUGGGGAAUAUUGGACAAUGGGCGCAAGCCUGAUCCAGCCAUACCGCGUGUGUGAAGAAGGCCUUCGGGUUGUAAAGCACUUUAAGCAGGGAGAAAAAGUUAUAAGUAAAUACCUUAUAACCGUGAUGUUACCUGCAGAAUAAGCACCGGCUAAUUCCGUGCCAGCAGCCGCGGUAAUACGGAAGGUGCAAGCGUUAAUCGGAAUUACUGGGCGUAAAGCGCGCGUAGGUGGUUUGUUAAGUUGGAUGUGAAAGCCCUGGGCUCAACCUAGGAACUGCAUCCAAAACUAACUCACUAGAGUACGAUAGAGGGAGGUAGAAUUCAUAGUGUAGCGGUGG
rnacentral:rRNA from 1 species